UGAGACAGUGUCCAAAAAUGAAGAUCUUCUCUCAAGGAGUCUUAGACACACCAAUGCUAAACAAAGUGAACGUCACCGAAGAAGAAAAAGAUGAUGAUGAAGGAUGUGGGGAAGGCAACCUCAAUGACACCAUAAAAAAAUUGUUCAAUGAAAUGGUGAGUAUCAAUUAAGUUUUGGUGCUAUUUAGAUAAAAUAAGAAGAGCUUACUAGGUGCAUUUGAUCAACAAUCCAAUCCUCAACGAUGGAAUCGAUGCCAUCAAAUAAACAUGACUUAAUCUUGAAACCACAAACUGCACUAAGCAUAGCACCAAAGCCAGAGCGUGACUAUAAAGAAGAAGAAAAAAGAAGGCAAAGAAGAAUUAAAUUAACAUGAAAUUCAACUGGAACAAUACAAAAUAUGAAAUUUUUAGCAAUCUUACGAGCAUUAUACACAAAUCUCAAUUCACGACAAAUAGGGGAAUGAAUCACUAACAUCACCCAAUUCGUAUAUUCAAAUAAUGUAUCCCCACUCCUAACAAGCAACGUGCUACCACAGUCGAUUAGUUGUUAGGGUUAAGGCUUACCAUAGAGAACUGGAUGGCGCUAACUAAAUGACAAGUUGAAACGGCAUCUGCAAUCGUAUUGAAUGACAUUGAACCGCGAGGUAGGGUUUAAAUGAAUACCGGGCAGAGAUAAAUUGGUGUGGUGAAUUAGGGUUUUGUGGCUACGUUUUAUUUCGAUUGAAAAAAGGAAUUUGAGCCAGGCUUUAAUAUGUAAAUUUUCGCUUAGUUGAAACAGAGGAAAGCUUUUGGGUUAUUAAAGUGAAAGAUAUGGAAUAAUACAAAAAAUUAUUGAAGUGAAAGAACAGGAAUACAAAAAAUCAGCAGAUGAGAUCGUUGAAAGAUGCGGACUGCUGUACGGCCAAGGCGGAUGUACGGUACAGCAGUGAUGGUCAUUUUGAAUCGACCGUUGAUUAAAAAAAUUCCUCAAAUAUUCACUCUAUAACAGUCCCAUGUUGAUGGCGUUGGGAAGUGUUUUCCAGAAAUGUUUUCCAUUUUUAAAAGCAUGAAUAUCGGGAAAAAAAAAUGGGAAAUACAGCGUUUUAGUUUAGUUAUUUUAAAAAUAGGCAUGUUUGAAAAUUAAAAUUUUUUAAAAACUAGCAUCAAGAUGAAAAAUGAAUUUAUAAUAUUUAAAAAUUAGCUGAAAUUCUUUCUCCGUUCCUAAUACUAAAUAGUGUAAAUGCAUUUUCAUUAUCUUUGUUUUUCUGGACUUCUAUUUAUUUAUUUUUGUUUUAAUUUUUUCCUUUUUUUCUUUAACAAAAAAUAUCUAGUAGACAUUCAUGGUUUGUUAUUUUUCAUAAAACAAUUGUAUGAUUUUGACAUACUUUGAAUCUAGUUGAAUGCUACUCUUUAUUUUCAGGUUGGAAUUCCCAAUAGUCUAGUGAAUCUUAAUGUAUCACUCUGUGAAAAAAUAGAAGAAAUCAUAGGACAUGUUGGAGAAGAAGCGAAGGAGAAUCGUAUUGCUUUCAGCGAAUUAAAACUUUUGGAACUUGAUUAUUUACCAAGGCUUACCAGCUUUUGUUCGGAGAAUUACACUCUUGAAUUCCCAUCAUUGGAACAAGUUUCUAUGACACAUUGUCUGAACAUGAAGACUUUUUCUCAGGGAAUCUUAUCCACACCAAAGCUAUGCAAAGUGCAAGUGAGUAAAAGGAAGUAUUAAGUUUUAUAUGAAACUGUGAUGUUGUUUGGUUACUAAGAAAAUAGGAGGAAAGAAAACUUCUGUAAGCUGAGAAUUCUGUUAUUAUUGAUCUAAUGAAUCUGGAAAUUACAAGCCUUUUUAUAUGUGCAUAGAAGAUUCUACACACAUUGCACACACGCACAGGUUACUACUAACAACCUCUAUAACAACCUUUAGCUGACUCAGCUGCCAUGUCAGCAUACUCAUUAACUAACUAAUUCUAUUCUUAACAGGAAGAGGGUGAAUUGCGCCGUUGGGAAGGCAACCUUAAUUCCACUAUACAAAAGUGUUACGAAGAAAUGGUAUGUGUUAAAUCGAUUCGUCGAAAUUACUUAUGCAUCUCCCUUGCACUUGCACAUUUGAACAUAUAAGUUUAAUGUAUAUAUAUAUCUAUGCCUUUCAAAAAGAAAAAAUUGUAUAUAUCCAGUGCAAUUGUUUUGGUUUGUGCAGAUUGGAUUUCGUGACAUAAUACAUUUGCAACUCUCGCAUUUUCCACGUUUGAAAGAAAUAUGGCAUGGCCAAGCACUGCCUGUCAGCUUCUUCAACAAUUUAUUCGACCUGGUGGUGGAUGACUGCACGAAUAUGUCGAGUGCUAUUCCUGCUAAUCUGCUACGGUGCUUGAACAAUUUGGUAUACCUGGAAGUGAGGAAUUGUGAUUCACUUGAAGAGGUGCUUCAUUUGGAAGAGCUAAUUAAUGCUGACAAAGAACAUAUAGGCCCCCUGUUUCCUAAGCUUUUCAAGCUAGGGCUCACUGACCUUCCAAAACUCAAAAGAUUUUUCAACUUCACUAGGAAUAUAAUUGAACUGCCUAAGUUGAGAUAUCUAACUAUUGAGAAUUGCCCUGAUAUGGAAACAUUCAUAUCCAAUUCUACAUCUGUACUGCACAUGACAGCAGAUAAUAAGGAAGCUCAAAAAUUAAAAUCAGAAAAGAACCUCUUGGUAGCUGAUCAAAUACAACAUCUCUUCAAUGAAAAGGUAAUCAUUAUUAUUAUUUUUCCCUUCACUUUCUUUCGCACAGUUGUAAUUUCAUUAGAAUCAAAUCAAAUUUAAUGACUCAUCUUUUUACAUGUCGUCUUAAUUUAUAUCUGAUUUAACAAUAUAACCGCAAUUAUUAACUAACUUUAUAGUAUGAAUUAUAAAAGUGUCUGAAAUUAAUUGGAUGCCUGGUAACACGAGGUGAUGAACUAUAUUAAUUAUGUGUGUAACAUCUCUGUUUUCCUAGCUAAUUCAUAUUAGAUUUAGCAUCAGAUUUCAUUUAUGUGUUUCAAAGGGUAAUCGAUUUGAUACUUAUAUUUGGGAUCCUACUGCAAAGCAUACUAAUUUGGAAAAAAAAAUAUAAAAUGCUGUGAUUAAUCUUGUCCAUAAAAUAUGCAGGGGAAGACUGCAGAGAUUGGAUACAUAUUUUCAUUUACAACUUAAUUUUGUUGAUUUUUAGGUUGCAUUCCCUCAAUUGAUAGAGUUAAAGUAUCUGGAUUACACAAAGUGCAGCAUCUCUGGAAGGAAAAUGACGAAUCCAGCAAAGCGUUUGCAAACUUGGGAAGUCUAGAAAUAUCGGAAUGUAGUAAGUUGCAAAAAUUAGUACCACCUUCGUGGCAUUUGGAAAAUCUGUGGGAACUAGAAGUAUCGAAGUGUCACGGGUUGAUAAAUGUGUUGACGCUCUCAACAUCUAAAACUCUAGUGAAUCUCGAAAGAAUGAAGAUAGCUGAUUGCAAAAUGAUAGAAGAAAUCAUACAAUCGCAGGUUGGAGAAGAAGCGGAAGAUUGCAUUGUUUUCAGGAAAUUGGAGUACUUGGGACUUGAUUGUUUGCCAAGCCUAACAAGCUUUUGUUUGGGUAAUUACGCUCUUGAGUUCCCGUCCUUGGAACACGUAGUUGUGAGACAGUGCCCAACAAUGAAGAUUUUCUCUCAAGGAGUCGUAGACGCACCGAAGCUAAACAAAGUGAAACCCACCGAAGAAGAAGAUGGUGAUGACGAAGGAUGUUGGGAAGGAAACCUCAAUGACACCAUAAAAAAAUUGUUCAAUGAAAUGGUGAGUAUCAAUGAAGUGUUGGCACUAUCUAGCAAAUUAUUUCUAUAGCUAUUAACGUGGCAUAAUAUGAUUGCUUGAUUGAAAAUAUAAAAUAAUAAUAAAUAAAUUAUGAGGGUUAUGUUAUGUUUUUGUUUAAUCAAUCAUAUUACGUCAUAUUAGUUUGUACAAUAUUAUUUGUGCACAAAAGAAAUGGUAUGUGUUAAAUCGAUUCGUCGAAAUUACUUAUGCAUCUCCCUUGCACUUGCACAUUUGAACAUAUAAGUUUAAUGUAUAUAUAUAUCUAUGCCUUUCAAAAAGAAAAAAUUGUAUAUAUCCAGUGCAAUUGUUUUGGUUUGUGCAG
rnacentral:lncRNA from 1 species